ACACGAAUCCCUCCCCACUAACAGGCUAACCUAUGAAACAAUAGGAGAAUUAAUGCUAGAAUGAGUAACCUGGGUUCUUCCCUCUACGACGCAAGCUUACAUCUGUACAUUAUUAACAAAUACCCAAUAUACGAUAAAUCCUACAAGCAGAGUAUUAAACACAUUGUUAACCCGACAGAGGAGCGUCCACUAAGAAAGAUUAAAACCUGUAAAAGGAACUCGGCAAACCCGUCAAGGCCCGACUGUUUACCAAAAACAUAGCCUUCAGCAAACCAAAAGACAAGUAUUGAAGGUGAUGCCUGCCCGGUGACCUAGUUCAACGGCCGCGGUAUCCUAACCGUGCAAAGGUAGCGCAAUCAAUUGUCCCGUAAAUCGGGACACGUAUGAAUGGCUAAACGAGGUCUUAACUGUCUCUUACAGGCAAUCGGUGAAAUUGAUCUCCCUGUGCGAAAGCAGGGAUAACUCCAUAAGACGAGAAGACCCUGUGGAACUUCAAAAACAGCAACCACCCCAACAUACCUUCACACCCAAAGCACUGGUUCGCAUUUUUUCGGUUGGGGCGACCUUGGAGCAAACAAACCUUCCAAAAUUGGACCAUCCAUCCAGACUGAGAGCAACCCUCAACGUGUAACAGGACCCAGACCCAAUAUAAUUGACCAAUGGACCAAGCUACCCCAGGGAUAACAGCGCAAUCUCCCCCAAGAGUCCAUAUCGACAGGGAGGUUUACGACCUCGAUGUUGGAUCAGGACAUCCUAGUGGUGCAGCCGCUACUAAGGGCUCGUUUGUUCAACGAUUAACAGUCCUACGUGAUCUGAGUUCAGACCGGAGCAAUCCAGGUCGGUUUCUAUCUAUGAUGAACUCUUCCUCGUACGAAAGGAUCGGAAAAGUGAGGCCUAUACCACAAGCACGCCUUCGCCUUAAGUAAUGAAACCAACUUAAUUACAAAAGGCUAUCACACAACACCACGUCCUAGAAAAGGACAUCA
rnacentral:rRNA from 1 species